GGUUUUGUAGUGUAGCGGUCAUCACUUCGGAUUCUGAUUGUACAUUUCAGAGUCUUCCGGCGACCCCGGUUCGAAUCCGGGCAAGACCU